rnacentral:rRNA from 1 species
AUUGAACGCUGGCGGCAUGCCUUACACAUGCAAGUCGAACGGCAGCACGGGAGCAAUCCUGGUGGCGAGUGGCGAACGGGUGAGUAAUAUAUCGGAACGUGCCCAGUAGUGGGGGAUAACUGCUCGAAAGAGCAGCUAAUACCGCAUACGACCUGAGGGUGAAAGGGGGGGAUCGCAAGACCUCUCGCUAUUGGAGCGGCCGAUAUCAGAUUAGCUAGUUGGUGGGGUAAAGGCCUACCAAGGCAACGAUCUGAAGUUGGUCUGAGAGGACGACCAGCCACACUAGGACUGAGACACGGCCCAGACUCCUACGGGAGGCAGCAGUGGGGAAUUUUGGACAAUGGGCGCAAGCCUGAUCCAGCAAUGCCGCGUGCAGGAAGAAGGCCUUCGGGUUGUAAACUGCUUUUGUCAGGGAAGAAAUCCUCUAGGUUAAUACCCUUGGGGGGAUGACGGUACCUGAAGAAUAGGCACCGGCUAACUGCGUGCCAGCCGCCGCCGUAAAAC